rnacentral:rRNA from 1 species
GAUGAACGCUGGCGGCGUGCCUAAUACAUGCAAGUCGAGCGAACAGACGAGAAGCUUGCUACUAUACAGAUAGCGAAGGACGGAUGAGUAACACGUGGAUCACCUACCUAUAAGACUGGGAUAACUUCGGGAAACCGGAGCUAAUACCGGAUAAUAUAUUGAACCGCAUGGUUCAAUAGUGAAAGACGGUUUUGCUGUCACUUAUAGAUGGAUCCGCGCCGCAUUAGCUAGUUGGUAAGGUAACGGCUUACCAAGGCAACGAUGCGUAGCCGACCUGAGAGGGUGAUCGGCCACACUGGAACUGAGACACGGUCCAGACUCCUACGGGAGGCAGCAGUAGGGAAUCUUCCGCAAUGGGCGAAAGCCUGACGGAGCAACGCCGCGUGAGUGAUGAAGGUCUUCGGAUCGUAAAACUCUGUUAUUAGGGAAGAACAAAUGUGUAAGUAACUAUGCACGUCUUGACGGUACCUAAUCAGAAAGCCACGGCUAACUACGUG